GGAAAUGCAGAGAAGGGAUCACAGUAGUAUUUUUUCUUCUGUAUACAGAGAGCUGAUGGUUGGUGUGAAUCAGCACAAGAAGAAAUACGAAUUUCAAUCCUGGAGCACCUUUUUCGAACGGUUUUGUAGGAAAAGGCGGUCAUAUGAUCGUUAACAAAAAGAGAGGUAGACAUAUAUGUCUGCAACUAGGGUGGUACCGCGAUACUUAUCGUCCCUACU
rnacentral:ncRNA from 1 species